AGCAGCCGCGGUAAUUCCAGCUCCAAUAGCGUAUAUUAAAGUUGCUGCAGUUAAAAAGCUCGUAGUUGAAUUUCGGGACUGAUAUGUCGGUCGUGCCUCGGUACGUACUGGUAUUUUUGGUUUCUCCCUUCUGACGAACCUUGAUGUCAUUAAUUUGGUGUCUUGGGAAAUCAGGACUGUUACUUUGAAAAAAUUAGAGUGUUUAAAGCAGGCUCACGCUUGAAUACAUUAGCAUGGAAUAAUGGAAUAGGACGUUUGAUUCUAUUUUGUUGGUUUCUAGGAUCGACGUAAUGAUUAAUAGGGAUAGUUGGGGGCAUUAGUAUUCAAUUGUCAGAGGUGAAAUUCUUGGAUUUAUUGAAGACUAACUACUGCGAAAGCAUUUGCCAAGGAUGUUUUCAUUAAUCAAGAACGAAAGUUAGGGGAUCGAAGACGAUCAGAUACCGUCGUAGUCUUAACCAUAAACUAUGCCGACUAGGGAUCGGAUGAUGUUAAUUUUUAAUGACUCAUUCGGCGCCUUACG
rnacentral:rRNA from 1 species